GCUAGAGAUAAUCUUGUACUUGGGGCUAACAUACGAGUACAAUUGGGAAACCUGUGUUCUCAUUCAGUUGCUCCGCUUUGCCUCGGGAAGGUCUGAGUGAAGGUGGAUUCUCGGUCUGGGAGGGUCUAUGUUCUAGCUGGACACUUAAUUAACAAGAGAUAGGGGGACCAGAAAUUUCUGUGCAUUUAGACACAUUGAAAUCUUCUAUUACUUGCCUUUUUAGUCCAAUGUAUAAGGUAAUCUUCAUGAUUUCAUUGAUAAAUGAAAUUGUUGAGGGUUAAAACUCAAUUCAGACUAAUCUUUCUCUAGC
rnacentral:RNase_P_RNA from 1 species